UACGUAGGGUGCAAGCGUUGUCCGGAAUUAUUGGGCGUAAAGAGCUCGUAGGCGGUUUGUCGCGUCUGCUGUGAAAACCCGAGGCUCAACCUCGGGCCUGCAGUGGGUACGGGCAGACUAGAGUGCGGUAGGGGAGAUUGGAAUUCCUGGUGUAGCGGUGGAAUGCGCAGAUAUCGGGAGGAACACCUAUGGCGAAGGCAGCUCGCUGGGACGUUACUGACGCUGAGACGCGAAAGCGUGGGGAGCAAACAGG
rnacentral:rRNA from 1 species